GGUUCUCCAUCCUUGACACGGCACUGAACGUGCGAAUAAUGAGAGCGAUCGACGGGAUAGAGCGAGAGCAACGAAAACGGAUUCGCUAACUUAUCGUGAUAGAGAUGGAAAUUGAUGGGAGCGGACAAGAAGGAAAACUGAGUGAUCACUCACGUCGUUUUGACAGUUCGAAAAAAAUAUCUUUAAUAACAGUCAAUAUUAACAACACCUCUGUCUCGUUUGCGCUUAAAGUUUAUAUCAGAGUGCACACUGAGAUGAUCUGACGGGCGCACUUUUACUCCCGAUACUCUUAAGGUGCGAUUUCACGUAAAUAUAAUAUCCAGAUAUUUAUUCCCACUCUAUCGAAAUUCCCCAUACCCAUAUCUGGAUCACGGUCUUGUAUACAGGUCAGGGCACUCAUAUACUAUUUUCAUAUAAUCUGUGUGAGCGAAGUGACGCCAAUAUGGCGACCAUAAUAGGCCGACGCGCAAGCGCAGUUGACAUGUUUUGACAGACAGCAUCGUGCCGUAUAUUUGUGGCUGUUUAGCACACGGUCUCUUCGUAUAAAAAGAAAAUAUGCCUAACAAAUGUAUAGUACCUGGUUGUAAUACAGGUUAUGCUACUUGCAAAAUAAAAUUAUCAGUGUUUUCUGCACCAAAAGAUGAUGAACGAAGAAAAGAGUGGGAGGAAAAGCUUCAAUUAAUAAAGCCAUUGUUGACAAAACAUUUUGUGUGUGAAAAACACUUCCGCACAGAAGAUAUAAUAAAAAGCUAUAAACACAAGGAAGAAAAAAGCAAUGUGCUUCUCGAGAUUCCGAAUAAACGAGCUCAACUGGUAAAGGACGCAGUACCAAUAGCAAUAUCGCCGCAACAUAUAGGCAAUAAAGAAAACUUGCAGGAAAAUGAAAAUAUUACAGAUGAACAGCUUAACAUAGUUCCAAUAUCAUAACCUUUGAUAGAAGUAUCACAGAAUUUGAUAGAAGAUACUAAAAAGUACCAGAGGCGCGAAACUGUUAUUGAACAUAAUAAUUUGUUUACGGAACUACUGAAUAAUCCAUCUGUGAUAAAAAUACCGACAAAUUGGUAUUGUACAUCAUCCAAAAAACAAAUUGUACUUUUCGAGAUUUAUCUGCAAAAUUAUGAUGAUAUAUCCAUAUAUCCUACUACACGAAGAAGCUUGACCAUUGAUCACAACAUGAAAACUCUUUACUUGAUAAGUGGCAAACGUGUAAAUCUGUCAGUGUUCUCAUUUUCUAAUAAAUUUGAAAACUUAGAAAAUAUUAAUGACACAGUUAAAAAAUUUGCAAGCUUAAAUAUUUGUUGCGGUAUUUCUAUGAAUGAUGAUGUAAAUUUAGUGAAAGGAAAUAUUGGGUACACCAAUAAUUCAUUUGAGUUGCGACAUAAUAAAUGUCCAAUCAUUACGGAUGGAAGACAAUGUGAAACCUGCAAGAGCGUGAAAAAAUGUAUUUUACGAAAAAAACAACGAAUCCGAAAGCGUUCACAGAUUUGCAACAAAAAAAAACAACGAUCGAACAUCAAACAUUAUCAUUAUCAUCUCUAUGGAAAAAAAAGUUUCAUCGCCAACAGUGUGCCUUAAAACGUUCAAAAAUACGACUUGAGACUUUGAAAAAAUUAGUUCUCUCUCAACAGGCAAAAAUAAAUAAGCUUAAAGAGGAAGAUGUAAUCCAAAAAUGUGAGGUAUUAGAUAUGCCAGAAAUACAAAAAACGUGCAUAAAGGAAAUUAUGGCUGCAGCUCGACUAACAAAUUCGAAAGGGCGUCGAUACACAAACGAUUGGAUUAUGCUCUGCAUUCUUAUGCAUAUUCGGUCACCGAUAAAUAUAAAAUGUGGAUUUGAUAAACACUUUUGUGAGAUUUUUAAGAAAUUCAUUGAAAAAAAAACGUCACUACAGAAACACGGACUUUUAUUAAUCGACGAAAUCUCAUUGCGGGAAUCUAUUUCCGUAAACUCAUCAAACUUAACAUAUAAAGGACUUGUCGAUUUUGGUGAAGAUGGCAAGAAAGCUAAAUGUUUAGACGAAAAAGCAACAAGCGGUUUAGUCUUAAUGUUUCAACCGCUUGCCGAUAAGUACACGCAGUCAAUCGCAGUAUUUGCUUCUCGUGGUCCUGUCAAAGGAGUAGAACUAGCUAAAUUGGUUAUUCAAGCGAUCAUUUUCCUCGAAAAUGCUGGUGUCUUAGUUCAUGGAAUUAUAUCUGAUGGUGCGGAAACUAAUAGAAAAAUGUGGAGCGAGUUAGGAGUGUGUGGAAAAAUGGAUAAUUUAAAAAACUGGUUCAUACAUCCUGUCAAUGAUGAACGAAAAGUUUUCGCUUUCUCUGACACACCACAUUUAAUAAAAUGCAUUAGAAAUAGAUUGUGCUCGAAAGAUAAGCGCUUGAGGCUGGACCCUAACAAAUCCUUCGUACAAUGGAAGCAUUUUGAGGCUCUGUAUGAUAUAGACAAAUCAGUUUCAACAACGCAACUGCGCGUGUGCCCAAAACUUACUCUCAACCAUUUGGAGUUAUCUAAUACGUCUAAGAUGAAAGUGAGAUUGGCAACUCAGAUAUUUAGUAACUCAAUUGUAUAUGGCUUGAAAUUCUACAAAGCACGUGGUGUCCCUGAAUUACAGGAUUGCGAAGCCACAAUUGAUUUUUGCCAACGGCUUAAUGAUUUGUUUGAUGCACUCAAUCGCAAAAUCCCGAAUGAAGGAGUCACAUCCUCUGGAAAUGAUUUUAAAAUUCUGCAAUCAUCUCUCGAAUGGCUCAACUGUUGGGAAAAUUACUUCCGAAAUGGAAAAAUAAAAGGAUCGGAAUUCUUAAUGAGCAACACAGCGGAGGGUCUACGUGUCACAAUUCAAUCUACUAUCGAUAUUUGUGAAACAUUAACUACAACGUAUAAUUUUAAAUAUAUAUUAACUGGACGAAUUAACCAGGAUUCAUUAGAGAAAUUUUUCGGAAUAAUCCGCCAAGCUGCAGGAGCCAACGAUCAUCCUUCGACCCCAACAUUCCUCCAAUUAUAUAAAUUGUUAUCAAUAUAUAGCACUUUGAAACCACCUGCGAGCGGAAAUUGCACCAUCACAAAAACAUAUCCGAAAACUCUCACCCUAUCUGAGUUAAAAGACAUUUACGACAAACCAACUAAAAUCUCUAUGACAAAUUUGAAAGCAAAAUUGGAUGAGUUAAUUGAAGAAAAUGAGUGGGAAUUUGAUGAUGUCGUCUAACAUGAUUAUUCUCAUGCAGCGGUUGUCGACUGUAUAAUUUACUACGUGACAGGAUACGUCUGCAAACAAAUAGAAAAGCAUUUUGCUUGUGAUACGUGUAAGAUAGCUAUACGAAUACCUAAAGCCUUCUCCCAGAUACCCUGUGCUGAAAUUGUCAAUUUAAAAUCAAGAGGUUUUUUAAUCCAUUCUAAUAUAAAUUUUUUUUUAUUACUUCGAGAAGUCGAAGGUUAUUUCUCAAAGCAUGUAUCUUCCCCAAAUGUUUAUGAAGAGACAGUUAAUGAAAUGUUAAAUAA